GGGCGGUUAGCUCAGCUGGUUAGAGCGCUUGCUUCACACGCAAGAGGUCCCAGGUUCGAGUCCUGGAUCGCCCACCA
rnacentral:tRNA from 1 species